AGUGAACGCUGGCGGUAGGCCUAACACAUGCAAGUCGAACGGCAGCACAGUAAGAGCUUGCUCUUACGGGUGGCGAGUGGCGGACGGGUGAGGAAUACAUCGGAAUCUACUUUUUCGUGGGGGAUAACGUAGGGAAACCUACGCUAAUACCGCAUACGACCUACGGGUGAAAGCAGGGGAUCUUCGGACCUUGCGCGAUUGAAUGAGCCGAUGUCGGAUUAGCUAGUUGGCGGGGUAAAGGCCCACCAAGGCGACGAUCCGUAGCUGGUCUGAGAGGAUGAUCGGCCACACUGGAACUGAGACACGGUCCAGACUCCUACGGGAGGCAGCAGUGGGGAAUAUUGGACAAUGGGCGCAAGCCUGAUCCAGCCAUACCGCGUGGGUGAAGAAGGCCUUCGGGUUGUAAAGCCCUUUUGUUGGGAAAGAAAAGCAGCAGGUUAAUACCCCGCUGUUCUGACGGUACCCAAAGAAUAAGCACCGGCUAACUUCGUG
rnacentral:rRNA from 1 species